rnacentral:rRNA from 1 species
UACGAAGGGUGCAAGCGUUACUCGGAAUUACUGGGCGUAAAGGGUGCGUAGGCGGUCUGACAAGUCUGAUGUGAAAAUCUAUGGGCUCAACCCAUAGUCUGCAUCGGAAACUGUCGGGCUUGAGUAUGGGAGAGGUGAGUGGAAUUCCUGGUGUAGCGGUGAAAUGCGCAGAUAUCAGGAGGAACACCAAUGGCGAAGGCAGCUCGCUGGGGACGGUAUUGACGCUGAGACGCGAAAGCGUGGGGAGCAAACAGG